AAGUUAUAUAACUUUAUUACUCUGGCAUAUGAUCAAUCAAUUUAUUUUUGUUAUAAAAUAAUGAAAAUGACUGAUUGAUAAUUGCCUGACAUCCUGUUGUAAGGAUGUCAGUCAUGCAUAUGUAGGAAGAUAACGUGUUAAUAUCAUAAGAAUACAUUUAACUAGAGAAAGACGAUGACUGAAUUUGAUUUUUAACACUUGCUUUAUCACGGUAACAGUUCACUGGAAUAUUUUUACCCUACACUUCCCGACGUCAGGACAUAGCUCAUAUGGUCAUGUAUGGUGUAUAUUCAGGACAGCAUCAUAUUAAUAUACCUAACUUUGUACUAGACUCACAGCUUCCUGUGGAGUUUUAACGUGUUUGAUAACUAGGUGACAGUUCACGGGAAAAUAUUGGAACCUACCUGGACACAUUAUUCUUACUCUAAACUAUCCAAAUUUUGCUGUAACUGUUACGAACGUUCUAAAUUAAUCCAUCAGCAAGAGAUUCCGUAAGAUGGACAUUAAACGUGUCAGUGUGUAAGAAUUUGUACUGAUAUAACUGUGUUCUGACUUAUAGUAUAAUUAAGUUGAAAUUAGAUCAAGUCAUAACAAGAAGGGGAAUGAAAGAACAACAGAUUUAAAAUGUUCAUCUUUUCAUCAAUCAUCUCGUCCAGAAGCGUCUUUCAAUGUUUUCAACUGUCCGGCAUUGCUUUGACUCUGGUUUUUGGAAUACUGAUACUGAUAACACUUCCGAUGAAAUUUUUAAAGCAUAAUCACAAACUUUCAAACAGUCUUUUUCUUGUUUUGUUAAUCGGAUUUUUUCAUGAAAGCUUUGCGGCCAUGACUACCUGGCUUAAAUCAACAUAUCAUUUAUAUAGCAUAAGUCCUUUUGUGUUAGAUAGCUACACAUUCCCCGUCGUUUGUUUUAUAUUUACAUUUGGUGUAUUGUGUAUGACAAAAUGUUCAAAAGAGGAAUUACGAACAAGUACAUUUGUAUAUGGAGUUUACAUAUUUAUUGUUUUGCUACUAAUUUUGGGAAUUGGAGUUGUUAACAGCUUUAGCAACCAACAUGCACAUCACAUUGUGAAGUUCCACAAACAUUACUUUUUCUUUACUGAUUACAAAGUAAAACGAAACGGUUGGUCAUUAGACAAGAUGCUUACAGAACUAGUAUCUGUGUUGACAUAUAACAGUUCGUUUUUUUGUUAUGUGUUGGAAUAUGUUUUAGUCUAUGCUCCUGCCACUUUUAUCCUGCUGUGGAACGUAAAGAAAUUGGUGUCAACAGGUCAACAAGGCGAGCAUAACAAGCAGUACUGUAUGACGUGUGACAAUAAUAGUAUGGUACAGCGAUACAUCUUAAUGUUUAUGUUGUUUGUGAUUUGGAUCGUGAGACCAAUUUGUUGGAUUAUCAACUUCAGUUUCACUUUUUUGUCACAAGAUAUAGUUCCAAGCGUUACAAUGUACAUUGUGUAUAUUUUUAUGCUUUGGUAUUUUCUACAACAAGGAUUUUUUUAAGAAAGAUUCCAUUCAUCAAAGCUAUAAACACAUAUUAAAUGACUUUCUUUGAUCCGAAAAGCAAGAAACCCUAAUGUUUAUGUCAACCUAUCAAUUAUAUAUUAAAAUGAAAGAAAAAGCA